GAUGAACGCUGGCGGCGUGCCUAAUACAUGCAAGUCGAGCGAACAGACGAGGAGCUUGCUCCUCUGACGUUAGCGGCGGACGGGUGAGUAACACGUGGAUAACCUACCUAUAAGACUGGGAUAACUUCGGGAAACCGGAGCUAAUACCGGAUAAUAUAUUGAACCGCAUGGUUCAAUAGUGAAAGACGGUUUUGCUGUCACUUAUAGAUGGAUCCGCGCCGCAUUAGCUAGUUGGUAAGGUAACGGCUUACCAAGGCGACGAUGCGUAGCCGAACUGAGAGGGUGAUCGGCCACACUGGAACUGAGGCACGGUCCAGACUCCUACGGGAGGCAGCAGUAGGGAAUCUUCCGCAAUGGGCGAAAGCCUGACGGAGCAACGCCGCGUGAGUGAUGAAGGUCUUCGGAUCGUAAAACUCUGUUAUUAGGGAAGAACAAAUGUGUAAGUAACUAUGUACGUCUUGACGGUACCUAAUCAGAAAGCCACGGCUAACUACGUGCCAGCAGCCGCGGUAA
rnacentral:rRNA from 1 species